rnacentral:rRNA from 1 species
AUUGAACGCUGGCGGCAGGCCUAACACAUGCAAGUCGAACGGUAGCACAGAGAGCUUGCUCUCGGGUGACGAGUGGCGGACGGGUGAGUAAUGUCUGGGAAACUGCCCGAUGGAGGGGGAUAACUACUGGAAACGGUAGCUAAUACCGCAUAACGUCUUCGGACCAAAGUGGGGGACCUUCGGGCCUCACACCAUCGGAUGUGCCCAGAUGGGAUUAGCUAGUAGGUGGGGUAAUGGCUCACCUAGGCGACGAUCCCUAGCUGGUCUGAGAGGAUGACCAGCCACACUGGAGCUGAGACACGGCCCAGACUCCUACGGGAGGCAGCAGUGGGGAAUAUUGCACAAUGGGCGCAAGCCUGAUGCAGCCAUGCCGCGUGUAUGAAGAAGGCCUUCGGGUUGUAAAGUACUUUCAGCGGGGAGGAAGGCGAUGGAGUUAAUAGCUUCAUCGAUUGACGUUACCCGCAGAAGAAGCACCGGCUAACUCCGUGCCAGCCGCCGCAGUAA